GGUCCGAUGGCCGAGUGGCUAGGCUCUGCUCUGCAAAAGCAGCUACAGCGGUUCGAAUCCGCUUCGGACCUCCA
rnacentral:tRNA from 2 species